AUUGAACGCUGGCGGCAUGCUUUACACAUGCAAGUCGAACGGUAACAGGUCUUUCGGGAUGCUGACGAGUGGCGAACGGGUGAGUAAUGUAUCGGAACGUGCCCAGUAGUGGGGGAUAACUACUCGAAAGAGUGGCUAAUACCGCAUGAGAUCUCUGGAUGAAAGCGGGGGACCGUAAGGCCUCGCGCUACUGGAGCGGCCGAUAUCAGAUUAGGUUGUUGGUGAGGUAAAGGCUCACCAAGCCGACGAUCUGUAGCUGGUCUGAGAGGACGACCAGCCACACUGGGAUUGAGACACGGCCCAGACUCCUACGGGAGGCAGCAGUGGGGAAUUUUGGACAAUGGGCGCAAGCCUGAUCCAGCAAUGCCGCGUGCAGGACGAAGGCC
rnacentral:rRNA from 1 species